CCCCCCUCCCCCGCCUUCUUUCACAAUAAAAAGCAAGCGGGAAAGAAAGCAACGAGAACCGCGGGGCGGGAAGAGCGGGAACAAGCCGCGGGGGCACCCGGUUUUGCACCGCCGCGUGUGGAGAGGAGCGGGGCGGAAGUGGCGGGAAACUGGAAACGGCGGCGAUGUGUGCCAAUAAGUGUGCGCGCGCGUGCACAACACGCACUAGAGCAGCGCGGCCAUCCCCGCAAGCAGAGGGGGAGCGAUGCGGGUAGUUACAGAUAACGUUGUGUCCCCAUGCACGUUAACACGCCUCAAGCCCGGUAGCACAGGUUUGCUGCGCAGCCACACAGAGCAGACCCCUCCCCCCAACAAAACAGAACCAGAAAAAAACCCUUCCGGGCGCUGCCCGCCCCGCGCUGCGACGCGGCCGGCAGGAAGCACGGCAACGCCGGCAAAGCCCGCUUCGCGCCGGGCGGCGCAGCCAGGGUGCGCGGACAGGCACCACGUGACGCUGCGCAGAGCCAGACCGCGCACGUGGCAGCCAUGCCGCGGCCCCGUGAGCUGGGGCAGAACGGCGCGGUCUGAUUGGCUGGGGCGUUUCCCUCCCCGCCAAUCAGGAGACGGCAAGAGGAAAGUUUCCCCCCACGUGCCCUAGCGACAAGGUGAGAAAGUGGGCGCUGAGGGGGACUGGCCCCUCCCCGGGGGUUCCUAUUGGUCCCCCAUCGGGGGCCAAGAGUAUAAAGGGCCGCGUGCCGCGCACACGGGCGGACUCGGUGACGGACGGCGGCGGGGGGCAGAGAAGAGCUGGUGGAGCUGGCCAGCGGGGGGGAGCGGUAACCCCAGAAGCGCCCUGAAGCGGCAGCGGCGCCUGCCUCGCGCGGCAGGAGGAGGAGACGGGCGGAGAAGAGCUGGUGGAGCUGGCCAGCGGGGGGGAGCGGUAACCCCGGAAGAGCCCUGAAGAGGCGGCGGCGGCGCCCCGAGGAGGUGAGGCGGAGCCGCGGAGCUCCCUGCCCGCUCUGUGCCGGGGUGGGCGGGGCGGGGCGGGGUGGGGCACGUGGGCUGCAGUUGGGGACCUACGGCCCCUCUGCAGGCCCGGGGCUGUGAAAGGCUGUGGGGAGUGACGUCCCGAGCCACGUGGGUGCUGCGUGGCUUGUUCUCGGUCAAGCACCGGUGACCUGCAGGGUGGGCAGUGGCCGGGCUUGCACGUUUCUGUUCCUUCCCUGAGGGCACCGUUGGGGGCGGUGGGCGAGGUCCCUGGGCCUCGGCCGCAGCUUUCCCUUAAGGUGUCACAGGGGGGCGGAGGCUCAGGUCCGUAGCCAGCUCUGCUGCCCCCUUAAGGUGUCAUUUAGGGGGGCCGUGGGCAGGGGCGGUUUGUCUCUGCCCGCGGUCCUCUCAAGGCAUCAUUUGGGCCAGCAGCAGGGAGGGCCGGAGGGCCCCCGCAGCCAUCCCCUAAGGUGCCAUUUGUGGGGGGCAGCGGCAAGGUCCGUAGGCCCCCGCUGUCCUCCCUUAAGGUACAGUUCGGGUCGGCAGUGGGUCUGGUCUGAACCCCUGUAGUUCUCACUUAAGGCCUUUGGGGGGGGGCCACGGGCCAGGCCCCUUGGGCUUGGCCCACGGUCCCUCUUUAAGGCGUCACUUGGGGCUGCAGCGGGCAAAGGCCUGGAGGUCGCCGCUGUCUGCUCGGGGUCAUCUUGCCGAGCUGCGGUGUGGUGCUGCCCUGCUCGCAAAAGGGUCAAGCACUGACAGUCUUUCACACCCCCAAGCCCGAGCUAGGCGUGGUGCUGCCUAGCUCUGUGGGCGGUCAAGCACUGGUGGUCACUUGAGGGGGCUUAUGCCCUCAAGGCCAUCCCAUGGGGAAGCACGAGCACACGGGGUGCCGCCAAAGAAAACCAGCAGAGAAGACCAGAGAAAAGCAGGUGUGAAUUUGCCUGCUAUUUAAUGGACAAAUAAAGUUGAUCUGCCAGGCACCUCCUUGGUGUCUGGUGCCUUUCACCUCCAAGUUCAUCCUUCCCCGCUGCGCUGUUUCUCUCAUCUCCUUUCCUGUUAUUUCACCUCCAAGUUUCCCCGCCCGCUGCCCGCUUUCGUUUCUGCAGUGGUUCCCUUGUAACCACUGCAUGCUGAGUGUCCGAGCUGGUCACCCGGGAUGCUGAAUCCCUCGCUGGAAAGGGAUUGAUGAAAGACAUCGCUUGACUGGACCGGCCACCUGAGGCUGCAGCCCUGAAUCCCACGAGACCGGUCCCCUCUGAGGGUCAAUGUGCAUCGCCCCAGGAAGGACAAGCAGACGAGCAGCAGUGAGCUGACCGGGAGGGAAGAAGGCCAGCCCAGCCAAACAGGAGGUAAAGCCCAUCUCGGUCCCUGUGCUUGCAGGCCUCGGAAGAACCGGAAGGAGAUGCAGAUGGGGGAAGAGGCGAGGUAGGAGAAAAGCCAGUCAGAGAAACGGGAUGUGAAGGAAAGGGACUCUGGACAGUGGCAUCUCUGCCUUUAGGUCUCGAUCACGUCUUAGCCAAAUUUCAGCUUUGUGAGCCUUUGGGCGAGCUCCCUGUAACUCAGAAACGAGUCUCUGCCCUUGAUGUUGUUGCACUUUUGCAGCAGUCAGGUGGAAGGUGGACAACCCUGUAAUCAAGUUGUCACCACCAUCAUGUUUGUAAAGGCCACGGAUCUGGUUGGUGGUCUUGCACAGCACAGCCCCACCCUGUAAUCAGUGGCUAUUCCCGGCCGGUCGGAGAGGAGCCCCUGUAAGCAGGGUGGACUCCUUCCACUGGUCUUAGAUAGCCGGAGCAGUUUGCAGCAUUGUGCCGCAGGGCGGCCUUGCAGACCAGAGCCGAGUCUCAUGGGAUGACAGCAAACUCUUUAGACACCAGAGCUUGACUUUCCUGUGGUCUGGGUUGAAGUCUGUGGCCUCCUCUCUGAGCCCUGUGUGCAGGCACCUGUCCUUUUUCAUGCAUGUGUGUCUGACACUAGAUGUCUGGACCCCUGGACCGCCCUGUAACAAGGGUGCAAGUCCCGUGCCCCAGUCGAGGGCUAAAUAGCACAGAGCAGUGGACCGCCCUGUAAGCAGGGCCCAGGUCUCUGUGCCUUUGGGGACAGCUCUGUUCUUUGCCCUGGCCGUCUUCCCUGUAAACAGGGUUCUGGGCCUUUGCCUUUUGCCCCCCCCCCCGUGGGCAGUGUGGCUAGUCAGAUGGACCGUGCCCUGUAACGAGGGUGCGAACCGCACGUCUCUUGGUGGAGAACUAGGUUCUGCAGAGCAGUGGACCACCCUGUAAGCAGGGUGCAGGUCACAAUGUGCUUUUGUGGACAGCUUUGUCCUUUCCCUGGUCUGACAGCCCUCCCCAUAAGCAGGGCUUGGCCUUUUCCUUUUGCCUCCUAUGGGCAGUGUGGCGAGUGAGACGGACUGUGCCCUGUAACGAAGGGAGCGAGUCCCGUGUCACUUGAUGGAGGGCUGGCUUCUGCAGAGCUGUGGCCCGCCCUGUAAGCAGGGUCCAGGUCACAGUGUGCCUUUGUGGACAGCUCUGUCCUUUCCCUGGCCUGGCGGCGCCCCCUGUAAGCAGGGCUCUGCGCCUCUCCCUUUUCCCCACCGUGGGCAGCCUGACUCCCCAGGCGGGCCGGGCCCUGUAACGCGGGCACCGGUCUCAGCCUUCUCGCCCCCUGGGAGCGGAGGAGGAUUUUCAGGGUAAGGUUUGAGGUCAAGCAGUUUGCAGCAUCGAGCUCCUUUCCAGCCUGGGAACACUUUUUCCCUUGUCAGUGUGUGGAGAGCGAGAGAGUGGUGCUGCGCCUGGGAGCGAAAGCAUUUGUUAUCUUCUUUUUGUUGUUAAAAUCGCUGCAGCGUACUUUAUUUUCUUCCCAGUGCUGGAAAAGGGGCGAGAUGCGUCCUUGUAGCCUUCUCCUCUCACCUCCAUACCUAGGGGGACGGACUUCCAGGCCUUUUGGUCUCGGAGCAUUAGGCCCCCUCUCUAAUACUUUUGGGCACACGGCCUCCCUGUAUUCCAGGGUACAGGCCUUAGACCCCCUCUUUUUGGGUUCCUUUGGGCACUUGGUAGCUCGAGUGCAGUUCCUGCCCUCCUUGAGAGACAGCCACGUAUUCCCCACCCGAGUCCCUGGGGACGAGUGCCCUGGCACUUGGCCAGCCGUUGCUCUGCGCCCCCACCCCCGGCCUGCAGCCUGUAAGCAGGGUCCAGGCCCCCUUGAUUCUCCGGGUCGGGUCUCGUCCCACUCGGUGAGGUUGGCCACAGAUGAUACCCACAGACUACAGGGAAGGUUGUAGACUUUUGGAGGAUACUGGGUGCGCUGGGACCCCUGAGGCUUCGUGACCUUCCUGUAACUCAGGUCCAGGUCUCUGCUCCUGGCACCAUUGAGAUGGUCUCUUCUCGCACCCUGUAAACAGGGCUGUGCCCCCCCAACCCCUCUGACCUUGGGGGAGGAGGCCUCCUUUAGCCCUUUGGGCUCUGUGACAGUCGUGAUGGGAGGCUGAACCUUUGUGUCCCCAGACACGGGGCUGCUUUGAGCCCUGAUUGAGACCGCCUGAGGCGCCCGUCAGCUGGCAUUCAGGGCUUUACAGGUUUUCUCUGGGCUUCAUGCCCCGCAGCCAGCUGUGUGCAGGGAGCACCGUCCUAUAAGCAAGGUUGCUGGUGUCUGUGGUCACCUUCACGGUGCCGUCCUAGCACUUCUGUCCAGAGUCCUGGCCCAUCGCACUCUGCUCCUGGCUGGCCCAGAUGUCGGCAGCCGAGCCCGCAGGCAUCUGCCCUCCCCCAUCUCCAUGGAUAGAGCACAGAUUGGCAGCAGAUUCAGGCCCUGAUGGGAGCAGCUGGAAAGGUGGUGCACAAGCAGGAGUCGGCUGACAAGGAGGGAAGAAAACCAUGCAAAGCUGCCAGACAGACAAGCAGCGGGCGAAGCACACCAGGAAGAAAAGCCAGGAAAAUAGGACGCGAAGGAAAAGGACUCUGGACAGAGUGAUCCCCCUGCUUUUAAGUAUCAGUCAUGUAUUAGCCAAAUUUUGGCUGCAUGAGCUCCCUGUAGCGCAGUAACGAGCUUGUGCCUUUGAUGCUUUUGCACUUCUGCGGCAGUCGGGUGGAAGGUGGACAACCCUGUAAGCAAGGCGUGUGUCACCGCCACCUCGUUUGUAAAGGCUGUGGAUCUAGUUGGUGGUCUUGUGCAGCGGGGCCGCCCUGUAAGCGGGUCCCGGGCCAGCUGCCAGACAUGACUGCCAGGGGCGCAGCCUCCUGUAAGCAGGGUGCAUGGUGCGUCUUACCGUGUAAGAAUGACAGGCAGUUUGAUGUUCCUAGCAUUGGACGUCCUGUAAUUGGGAGUCAAAGUCCACUGCUGUUCCCAGCCAGUCGGAGAGGAGCCCCUGUAAGCAGGGUGGACGUAGCCUCCUUCCACUGGCGUAGAUAGCCGGAGCAGUCUGCAGCGCUGUGCCGCAGGGCAGCCUUGCAGACCGGAGCCGAGUCUCGUGGGGUGACAGCUAACUCCUUAGACCCCAGAGCUUGAUGACCUUCCCGUGGUCUGGGUUGAAGCCUGUGGCCUCCUCUCCAAUCCCUGUGUCCAGGCACCGCUCCUUUUUCAUGCAUCUAUGCCUGGCACUCCACAUCCAGACAGCUAGGCCACCCUGUAAGGAGGGUGUGAGUCCCACGUCCCUCGGUGCAGGGCUGGAUUGCACAGAGCAGUGGACCGCCCUGUAAGCAGGGUCCAGGUCUCAAUGUGCCUUUGGGGGCAGCUCUGUCCUUUGCCAGUCGUGACCGGCCCUGCCUGUAAGCAGGGCUCUGGGCCUUUCCCUUUUGCCCCUCUUGGGCAGUGUGGCUAGCCAGACGGACUGUGCCCUGUAACAAGGGUGGAAGUCCUGUGCAUCCUGUUGCACAGCUAGGUUCUGCAGAGCUGUGGACCGCCCUGUAAGCAUGGUUCAGGUUUCUGUGUGCCUUUGGGGACAGCCCUUUCCUUUGCCUGGCCUGGCGGCCCCCACUGCAAACAGGGCUCUUUGCCUUUGCCCCCCCGUGGGCAGUGUGGCGAGUGAGACGGACCGUGCCCUGUAGGGAGGGUGCAAGUCCUGUGUCUCUUGGUGGAGGGCUGGCUUCUGCAGAGCUGUGGCCUGCCCUGUAAGCAGGGUCCAGGUCACAGUGUGCCUUUGUGGACAGCUCUGUCCUUUCCCUGGCCUGGCGGUGCCCCCUGUAAGCAGGGCUCUGCGCCUCUCCCUUUUGCCCACCGCAGGCAGCCUGACUCCCCAGGCGGCCCGGGCCCUGUAACGAGGGCACCGGUCUCAGCCUUCUCUUCUUGCCCCCUGGGAGCGGAGGAGGAUUUUCAGGGUAAGGUUCGAGGUCAAGCAGUUUGCAGCAUCGAGCUCCUUUCCAGCCUGGGAACACUUUUUCCCUUGUCAGUGUGUGGAGAGCGAGAGAGAGGGGCGCCUGGGAGUGAAAGCGUUUGUUAUUUUCUUUUUGUUGUUAAAAAAAUCGCUGCAGCGUACUUUAUUUUCUUCCCAGUGCUGGAAAAGGGGCGAGAUGCGUCCUCGUAGCCUUCUCCUCCCACCUCCAUACCUAGGGGGACGGAUUUCCAGGCCUUUUGGUCUCGGAGCAUUAGGCCCCCUCCCUAAUACUUUUGGGCACACGGCCUCCCUGUAUUCCAGGGUACAGGCCUUAGACCCCCUCUUUUUGGGUUCCUUUGGGCACUUGGUAGCUCGAGUGCAGUUCCUGCCCUCCUUGAGAGACAGCCACGUAUUCCCCACCCGAGUCCCUGGGGACGAGUGCCCUGGCACUUGGCCAGCCGUUGCUCUGCGCCCCCACCCCCGGCCUGCAGCCUGUAAGCAGGGUCCAGGCCCCCUUGAUUCUCCGGGUCGGGUCUCGUCCCACUCGGUGAGGUUGGCCACAGAUGAUACCCACAGACUACAGGGAAGGUUGCAGGCUUGUGGAGGGUACGGGGUGCGCUGGGACCCCUGAGGCUUCGUGACCUUCCUGUAACUCAGGUCCAGGCCUCUGCUCCUCUACUCUGCUGCUCCUGGCACCAUUGAGAUGGUCUCUUCUCGCACUCUAAACAGGGCUGCGCCCCCCCAACCCCUCUGACCUUGGGGGAGGAGGCCUCCUUUAGCCCUUUGGGCUCUGUGACAGUCGUGAUGGGAGGCUGAACCUUUGUGUCCCCAGACACGGGGCUGCUUUGAGCCCUGAUUGAGACUGCCUGAGGCACCCGUCAGCUGGCAUUCAAGGCUUUACAGGUUUUCUCUGGGCUUCAUGCCCCGCAGCCAGCUGUGUGCGGAGCACUGCCCUGUAAGCAAGGUUGCCGGUGUCUGUGGUCACCUUCACGGUGCCGUCCUAGCACUUCUGUCCAAAGUCCUGGCCCUUCGCACUCUGUUCCUCGCUGGCCCAGAUGUCGGCAGCCCAGACCACAGAUGUCUGCCCUCCCCACUUUCUGCAGACAGAGGACAGUGGCUACAGGUCCAGAGGAAGAAGCAGAGAAGACAACAGACAAAUAGGAGUUAUCCUAUAACCAGGGCAGAAAACAGUGCCAGCCCACUGGGAGACAAAGGUCCCUGAAGAGCAGCUGGAGGAGGAGGAGCAGAAGCAGGACAAGAAAGCUCGGAAACAACAAGUGUGGGUUGGUGUGGACAGGAGGAAGAGAGGCACAUGUUUAAUGUAUGCUUAGAUAAGUACAGAUGGUGGAGACUGUCAUGUGCAUCUCUACACUUUCAAACGCUCAGUAGGAGCAAGCUGCUGCACGCUUCAAGUUGCACCAUGGACUCGGUCUUGGGUUUGGCCCUAUUUGUAGGCAGUGAGGUUGAGGUGCGCGUAUUGGGUUGGACCCAAUUUGUAGGCAGUGAGGUUGAGGAGUUGUGCGUAUUGCAUUGGACCUAAUUUGUAGGCAGUGAGGUUGAGGCGUGCGUAUCGGGUUGGCCCCGAUUUGUAGGCAGUGAGGUUGUGUUGUGCUAGUGCGUAUUGAUAUGUGGCAGUCUAGGUUUUUGCAGGUUGUUUGGCUUUGCUAGUUCAGGAGUUGAUCAAAAUAGAUGUGACUGAAGGUAGCAUGUAGAGUUUUCUGAGUUGGGUUGUCAGUGUUGGUGUAGAAAUGCAGGUUUGUGCUCAGUUUGGUCAGUGGCUUGGCUGUAGCUUGCUUUAGCCGUAGGUUGUGGGGCCAGUUUGAGGCUGUUUGUGGUGCAAUUUGGUUGCGUCUGUAAAUUGAAGCUCCAUGGGCGUUUGAAAGGGUUAAUCUCCAUCUCCACGCAUGAAGAUCUCCUGUAUCCAAAUGAUCCUAGCGGUAGUUGGCGUGCUCAGCGUCAAACCGGACGUGCACAAUCGAACAAUAAACAGUGUAAAAAAACUUUUCACCUUGUGCCUGGUGCUCUUCUACACUGAGAGGACUUGGCCCUUACCCUUUCCUGGUGCGAGCUGGCUGGAGGAAUAAACUUUUUCAUUUAGUCUACUGA